CUCGCUGUGAAGAUGCAGUGUACCCGCGGCAAGACGGAAAGACCCCGUGAACCUUUACUAUAGCUUGACACUGAACAUUGAGCCUUGAUGUGUAGGAUAGGUGGGAGGCUUUGAAGUGUGGACGCCAGUCUGCAUGGAGCCGACCUUGAAAUACCACCCUUUAAUGUUUGAUGUUCUAACGUGGACCCGUAAUCCGGGUUGCGGACAGUGUCUGGUGGGUAGUUUGACUGGGGCGGUCUCCUCCUAAAGAGUAACGGAGGAGCACGAAGGUUGGCUAAUCCUGGUCGGACAUCAGGAGGUUAGUGCAAUGGCAUAAGCCAGCUUGACUGCGAGCGUGACGGCGCGAGCAGGUGCGAAAGCAGGUCAUAGUGAUCCGGUGGUUCUGAAUGGAAGGGCCAUCGCUCAACGGAUAAAAGGUACUCCGGGGAUAACAGGCUGAUACCGCCCAAGAGUUCAUAUCGACGGCGGUGUUUGGCACCUCGAUGUCGGCUCAUCACAUCCUGGGGCUGAAGUAGGUCCCAAGGGUAUGGCUGUUCGCCAUUUAAAGUGGUACGCGAGCUGGGUUUAGAACGUCGUGAGACAGUUCGGUCCCUAUCUGCCGUGGGCGCUGGAGAACUGAGGGGGGCUGCUCCUAGUACGAGAGGACCGGAGUGGACGCAUCACUGGUGUUCGGGUUGUCAUGCCAAUGGCACUGCCCGGUAGCUAAAUGCGGAAGAGAUAAGUGCUGAAAGCAUCUAAGCACGAAACUUGCC
rnacentral:rRNA from 1 species